GACGGCAUAGCUCAGUGGUAGAGUAUGUACUUAGCAUGCACGAGGUCCUGGGUUCAAGUUCCAGUACCUCUG
rnacentral:tRNA from 1 species